CAGAACCUGUUCACGAAGCGACAGGACUGAGAUGUCUACGACGUACAUUCAGAAAUCUAGUUAGUUAGUUCCAUCGUCAAGUAUACGUCACGCAGGUAGCUUUCAAGUGUUUGGACGCUGUACGAGAUCUCGCAUACAUGCACCGCUGAUUCUAAACCACAACCGUUUUUCUAGACAAAAGUGGCGUCAGAGUGGCUGAGCAAAGAAUUAAUGGAGACAUCAUCGAGCCAUAGCUCGUGAGACUGAAGUCAGUCACCAGUAGUGUCGCCAUUACUUUACAAACAUUCUAAUGAUGUCAAUAAU